GCCUACUUCGUGAAGAUCUACCCCGAGUAAGGCUAGUCCUCCGUGGGCGUAGGCCAUGAUGGCAUAGACAAGGUUGCUUCUUCGUGGACCCUUCGUGGGUGGAGCCCUACGUGGACUCUCGCAGCCGUUACCCUCCGUGGGUUGAAGUCUCCAUCAACGUGGAUUGACGAUAGCACCACCUAUCGGAACCACGAGAAAAAAUCUCCGUGUCUCCAAAUUGCGUUUGCUCUUCUCCACCUCUCUUUACUACAUGUGCAAUUUACUUUCUGCUGCCUAUACUCUAGAAUUGCAUGUGUAGGGUGAUACUUGACUUGACCAUCAUUGUGAACUUGCCAAAAACUUGUCUUUAUCAAAAGGCUGAAUUUUUAUAUUGUCAAGUAGUCUAAUCACCCCCCUCUAGACAUACUUUCGAAACUACAAGUGGUAUCAGAGCUUUGGUCUCCAUUGUAUUGGUUUCCAUUGCAUUGGACUCCAUAAGCUUGGUUUCACAACCUAGGAGAGUAUGGCGUCUAGUGAGGGUAAUUUUCGUAGAGGUCCUUACUUUGAUGGUUCAAACUUUGCUAGUUGGAAGCAUAAAAUGAAAAUGCAUAUUCUUGGCCAUAACCCAGCCGCAUGGGGCAUUAUUUGUGUUGGUUUGCAAGGUGAGUUCUUCGAGGAAGGAAAAGUUCCGGAUCGCGAAGCUACAACGGAUGAAUUGCGGAUGUUGCAAAACACUGCUCAAGCUUGUGACAUUCUAUUCAAUGCUUUGUGUCCCGAGGAGUUCAACAAAAUCAGCCGUCUUGAGAAUGCAAAAGAGAUUUGGGAUACUUUGGUCGAAAUGCACGAAGGUACCGAGUCUGUGAAGGAAUCAAAGCUAGAUGUUCUUCAAGGUCAACUUGACAAGUUCAAGAUGAAGGAAGGUGAAGGAGUCGCUGAAAUGUACUCUAGGCUUGCUCUCAUCACAAAUGAGAUUGCCGGCUUAGGAAGCGAAGAAAUGACCGACCGAUUCAUUAUCAAGAAGAUUCUCAGAGCUUUGGAUGGAAAGUAUGACACCGUGUGCACUUUGAUCCAAAUGAUGCCAAACUACAAGAAUCUCAAGCCAACCGAAGUCAUUGGAAGAAUUGUUGCUCAUGAGAUGACACUUAAAGAUAAGGAAGAGCUUCACAACAAGUCAAGUGGUGCUUACAAAGCUAUAAGUGAUGCUCCCACAACCUCAAGUGACAAGCUAGUUUCCAAUGAAGAGAUAAGCCUAAUGGUGAAGAACUUCAACAAAUUCUACAAGAGUAGAAGCAAAGAGAGAAGCUCAAAGUCUAGAUCAUAUGAUGAAAACAGAUCUUCUAGUCGUGAUCGAAACUGCUACAAUUGUGGAAGACCCGGACACUACUCAAAUGAGUGUUCGGCUCCCCACAAGAGAAGAGAAGAAUCUCCAAGAAGAAGAAGCUCAAGAGAAGAGUCACCUUGAAAAGAGAGAAGGGGUAGAGAUGAUCGUUAUGAACGAAGACCCUCUCGGAGAAGCAAGGAUUCGGAGAAGAAAGACAAGUCAUCAAGGAGCUACACAAGAAGAAAACAUCAAGCUCAUGUAGGUGAAUGGGUCUCCGGCUCCGACUCCGACAGUCAUUCCGAAAGAAGCUAUCACUCCAACUCCGACUACAGUCAAGAUGAAGGUGUUGCCGGUCUUGCUCUCGUGUCCUCCAACUCCAACUCCUAUGACUUAUUUGAUUCACCAAAUGAGGGAAUUGGAAGAUGCUUCAUGGCUAAAGGCCCCAAGGUAUCACACCCUGAAUUCAUUGACUUUGAUAGUGAUGAGGAUGACUUGCUUGGUGAAGAUGAGCUUUUACAUGAAAAAUCUAGUGAGCCUAGUAAUGAUGAACAUGCUAGUAGUCUUUACAGUCGAGAAGAGUCGAAUGACAAUGCUAUGAAGGAGAUUGAGCAUCUAACUAAAGAACUAAACACUCUUAAGUUAGCUCAUGAAACAACUCAAGAAGAUCAUAGAGAGCUCCUAAGAUCUCAUGAGAAGCUACGCUUCGAGAAGCUCAAUCUAGAGCAAGAACAUGAGUUCCUAAAAGCAAUCAAUGACGAUCUUCGAAAGAAGAGUUCUUCAUAUCUUGCCAAACGACUUCUCUUUUCUAAUUUCUUGCCACCUAUUAAAACUAAGCAUGACAAGCAUAAGAAAAAUUCUUCAUCUAGAAGCAACAAUAUUGGUUCUAGUAGUUCUCUUGAUUCCACUAACAAUGUUUCAAGACAAGUUACACUUGAGCAAGAAAAUAGUUUAUUGAAAGGGAUUAUAGAGAAAGGUGUCUACAAGAGCCUUGCCGGAAGCAAGAACUUUGAGGAAAUUGUUCGCAAGCAAGGAAGGCACCGGAAGAAUCACGGAAUUGGUUUUGAGCGAAAGUUCAACGCCGAGGGUGUUGAAUGGGAAGAAGGUCAAUAUCCCACUCCAAAGUUUGUUUCUCAAAAGGAGAAGUACGAUCCUACUUCUUCCAAUGUGGAACAAGCUCAAGAUGAUCUUCCACCACAAGACCACAAGCUAAAAGGCAAGGACUGAAGAAGUGGACCCCUCAAAAUGCUAAGGCAAGCAUUGGCAAAAGCUCAAGACUCCAUUUUUGGUUUAGUGAUCCAAGAUCACAUUGAGUCUAUAGGAAAGCCAAUACUAUUAAAAGGGGAUGAGGUUAUGAUAAUGAUCUGGUUGCUCAAAGUGCUUAGUGAUACAUCUCCUAAACUAUCAGCAACUCUCACUUCCAUAAUACACUCAUAAGUAAUCUCGGUCCCACCGAUUUCCUAAACUCAGUCACACCGAGAUGAACCACCUCAGCCAUAUAGCCAAACCCUAGAAAUCUCGGAUUUUCCGAUUCUGAACUCGGUCUCACCGAAACUUGAGUUGCCAAGCUUCUGUAACCUUCUGUCAUCAAAUCGGUGUCACCAAGAUGAUGAAGUCGGUCCCACCGAGAUUGGCAAGCUCUUGUCUUUGGACGAAUCGGACUCACCGAGUUUGUAUUUUCGGUCCCACCGAAAAUCCCAACGUUCACAUGAUUUGAACUUUCGGUCUCACCGAGUUGUCAACUUCGGUCUGACCGAGAUUGGUCAAAUGUGUGUAACGGUUGGAUUUUGUGUGGAGGCUAUAAAUACCCCUCCACCCCCUCUUCAUUCGUGGAGAGAGCCAUCAGAAAGUACUACCACUCCUACCUUACAUUUCUGAGAAGAAAACUACCUACCCUUGUGUUGAGAUCAAGUAGCUCCACUCCCACCAUAUGAAGCUUGAUCUCUAGCCUUCCCAAGUUGCUUUCCACUCAAUCCUUUCUUCCACCACAGUCAAAUCAGUGAGGAGAGUUGAGUGUUGGGGAGAUUAUCAUUUGAAGCACAAGAGCAAGGAGUUCAUCAUCAUCAACACCAUCUAUUACCUUUUGGAGGGUGGUGCCUCCUAGAUUGGUUAGGUGUCACUUGGGAGCCUCCGUCGAGAUGUGGAGUUGAACCAAGAAGUUUGUAAGGGCAAGGAGAUCGCCUACUUCGUGAAGAUGUACCCCGAGUAAGGCUAGUCCUCCGUGGGCAUAGGCCAUGAUGGCAUAGACAAGGUUGCUUCUUCAUGGACCCUUCGUGGGUGGAGCCCUCCGUGGACUCUCGCAGCCGUUACCCUCCGUGGGUUGAAGUCUCCAUCAACGUGGAUUGACGAUAGCACCACCUAUCGGAACCACGAGAAAAAAUCUCCGUGUCUCCAAAUUGCGUUUGCUCUUCUCCACCUCUCUUUACUACAUGUGCAAUUUACUUUCCGCUGCC
rnacentral:lncRNA from 1 species